rnacentral:rRNA from 1 species
AUUGAACGAUGGCGGCAGGCCUAACACAUGCAAGUCGAGCGAGCGGCGGACGGGUGAGUAAUGUCUGGGAAACUGCCUGAUGGAGGGGGAUAACUACUGGAAACGGUAGCUAAUACCGCAUACCAUCAGAUGUGCCCAGAUGGGAUUAGCUAGUAGGUGGGGUAACGGCUCACCAAGGCGACGAUCCGUAACUGGUCUGAGAGGAUGAUCAGUCACAAUUGAACGGAGACAGGGUCCGUGCUCCUACGUGAGGCAGCAGUGGGCAAUAUCGGACAACGGGCGAAAGCCUGAUCCAGACAUGCCGCGUGUGGGAAGAAGGUCUUCGUAUUGUAAAGCACUUUAAGUGUGGAGGCUUUACCAACAGAAGAAGCACCGGCUAACUCCGUGGCAGCAGCCGCGGGAAUAC